rnacentral:rRNA from 1 species
UACGUAGGGGGCAAGCGUUAUCCGGAUUUACUGGGUGUAAGGGGGCGCAGACGGCGAUGCAAGCCAGGAGUGAAAGCCCGGGGCCCAACCCCGGGACUGCUCUUGGAACUGCGUGGCUGGAGUGCAGGAGGGGCAGGCGGAAUUCCUGGUGUAGCGGUGAAAUGCGUAGAUAUCAGGAGGAACACCGGUGGCGAAGGCGGCCUGCUGGACUGCAACUGACGUUGAGGCCCGAAAGCGUGGGGAGCAAACAGG